rnacentral:lncRNA from 1 species
AGUUGCGGUGGCGCGCUCGUGGCGGGGACGCCGGCACCCGGCUGCUCACCCGGGACGGCCGUCACACCGGCACUACGGGAAGAAGCCGGCCGGCUAGGGCACGGAGCUCUGGGCUUGCGGGGUGCGGCGCACGCCCCUCCCUCCCACCGCCUAAGGUUUUUCCGAAGCUGCUGGGCGUGCGCCGCGUUUCUGAGGCGGGAGGAGACACUUCCGAGCCAGCUGUGUGACAUCCGUUUACACAGCCGCGCUGACGUCUCGAGGUGUAAGUUCAAGAGCUGCCAUUGGCCGGGAGCCGCUGGGCUCUUCCCCUCACCUUCCACCCCUGUCACCACCCCUGACUCGGAAACCGAGGCCACUUCGAAGCCGCGAGGCGGGUUCCGCCGGAAGGGCCAGUGUGGGCGCUGACCGCGCUUCGGGCAGAGUGGCAGAUGCGGCCCCUGGGUGAUGCGCACCGAAGUCAUGUGAGGGGUUGAUUGGUUGUGCGGCACCACUGUUUACCCACUUGUGUUUUCUUAAUUGUUGCGUACUACUGCCUUUCCACAACUUUAUUUCAGAAUGAAAGCAUAUAUCAAAUUACCUGUGCACAGCAGAAAGAUAACAGCUUCCCCACCCAGUGAGCCAUUCAACACCCAGGCUACAAACUGUAGAUCACUUUAUUGUCUACACCCUCGGAAUCCUGUCUAGCCGUCUGUUGUAUAUUUUAAACAUGACGGUGCAGUGCCUGCUAUAUGACAAACGUUGGUGAUCCAGAUGAGAAAGAGGAAACAGCUAUGCAGGCAGUCCUUUAGAAGGAGAAUCUUCCAGGGCCCCAGAGCAGUGCUUGAGGACUUAUUACAGAUCCUUUGACAUCUCUACUAGGCUGCACUUUCACAAAAGGCAAGAGUAUUAUAAAGUGUUUUGUAACUUUAUGUCAAAAAUAUGAACCUGUCAGAGCCAGAUGUGGUGGUACCUAUCAUUCAAACUACAACAGGGCUGGUGAGGCGUGAGGAUCGCUUAAGCCCAGCUUGUUAUGAUUAUGCAUGUGAAUAGCCACCGUAGUCCAUCUUGAGCAGCGUAGCGAAACACAGUCUCUUAAAAAAAAUUGCGACCUAUACAUUUCAUAUAAGUUAAAUACACAUCUUCCCUAUGAGCCAGCAAUCCCACAUCUAGGUAUUUAUCCAGAGAAAUAAAAGCAUAUAUCGAUAAAAAGACAUGUACAAAAAUGUCCGUAACAACUUUAUUCAUGGUCACCAAAAACUAUAAACUGCCCAGAUGUCCAUCAGUGGGAGAACGGAUUAAUAAACUGAUAUAUUCAUCUAAUUAAAUACUACUCAGCAACACAAGAGAAAAAGCAUGGAUGAAUCUCAAAAAGUUAGGAUGUUUUAUGCUUUCUGGAUACGGGGCCCUCGAAUCGCUACCUGGUAACAGGCUCCCUAUGUGAUUCCUGUACAGACAGCCUGGCACCAUGCAAAUGUAUCAGAACUACACAUACCAUCCAACUUCAACUUCUUGUUUUUAGAGAUGAAGCAACUGACUCUGAGAGUUCUGAAGUCGUUGCUAAAAUUUACAAUAUUUGUUUCCUUACUCCCAGUUCCUAAACCAUUCAACCACAAGCAAAUUGUCUUUGGUCUACCUAUUGGACUCUGUGCUGACAAAAGAUACUUGUUUUUUUAUAAUUUAGAUAUUUUGCAUGUCUGUUCUCAUCACCCACCAUCAUCACACCACUAGUUCUCCCCAGAAAAAAUUUCAGAUUCUUUGAGGCUUAGGAUUAUCUCUAACCCUUCUUUUUAUUUCUUUACCACAGCAAAUAGCAGAGAGAGUCUUGUAUAGUUCAUCAGUGAUUAAAUAAGCUACUACUAUUAUCAGGAGAGCUGUAAUGAGUUUUGGAACUCAGUACCCUAAAUAAUAAUACUAAUGUUGUAAAUGUUAAAGAUACAGAAUUAUGAAUAAGAGUCAUAAAUUAGAAUUAUAGAGACAGUUGUAGCAGCUGAUGGCUUUGCUAGUUGGGGGGCAGAGAGGGUGGAGUUGCAGUGGAAACCAACUCCGGACAGCCAGGAGCUGGACUGGCACUAUUAGCUAGGCAUUUGUGGUACUGGCAGCUGUCCUGGCAUUCUCAGUUCUCAUUGUUUUGUCAAAUAUAAACAGUCCCACAAAACAUCAACAUCAGUUAUAGUCAUUUUAUGACUACAAUAGGCAAGACAAAAAUAAGACCCCUCCACAAUCAUGUCUGAACACAGCAAAUACAAGAACAGUCUCUAAACCACAAAAAUGACCAAACAUUCUGGUUAAUAUAAGUGACCACUGUUUCUUGGCCAAUUACAGGCUUAGCCUUGAUCCAUUCUUCCUGCCUUCUAGAUAGCAAAUAUUAAAAUAUUAAGUUAUAGGAUCACCUGUUUCCUGCCAGCAUCCAAUCCAGAGCAAAACCUUGACACUUCCCCAAAAUCACCUAACAACACACUCAUUCCUGUAAUGUUUUUCACAAUACCAAUACCUUCUUACUGAGAGUGCUCCUGCCCAACUUCGCUCCUCAUUGCUCUCUGCCUCCCUGCAACAAGACAUUAAACCCACCUUGGUUUGAAUCUAGUUGUUUUCCUGCUGCUCUUUAGCUAGAGGGCAUUAGCAUUUGUUAUUAUCAAAUGUCACCAACCUAUCUAAAGUUAAUCCCUCCUUUGCCCUUUCCUCUUACCGUUUUUAUUUUCUUUAUAGCUCAUUAUCACAUUUUUAAAAAUUGUUGGUUUGUUCAAUUAGAACACAGGCUCCAUGAGGACAGGGAUUUUGUUCAGUUUUUGGGAAGAUAAUCAGGCUACUGUGUGGAAUACGGACUAGAGGAGAAGCAACCUCUUAGAAGGAAGACCAGUUAAAGUUGUUCAAAGGGUCCAUAGAGAAGCCUUAAAAGUAUGAAUUUAGGGCCGGGUGUGAUGGCUCACGCCUUUGAUCCCAGCACUUUGGGAAGUCAAAGCGGGCAGAUCACCUGAGGUCAGGAGUUCAAGACCAGCCUGACCAACAUGGUGAAAUCUCACACUACUAAAAAUACAAAAAUUAGUUGGGCACAGUGGCGCAUGUCUGUAAUCCCAGCUACUCAGGAGGCUGAGGCAGGAGAAUCACUUGAACCUGGAAGGCAGGGGUUGCAGUGAGCUGAGAUUGUGCCAUUGCACUCCAGCCUGGGCAACAAGUGCAAAACUCCAUCUCAAAAAACAAAAAGCAAAACAAAAAAAAGAAUGUAGGCAUUCUGGGAAUAAUGAAGUAAGGUUGUUAUUGAGAAACAUUUCUGAUGUGGAGUUGUCAGGAUUUAAUUCUGAAUUGGAUAGAGGGAAGGGAAUGAUGAAUAUAGGGAGAAAACCCCCAAAUUGCUUGUUCUUAUGAUUUAUUUCAAUGAAUAACUUAUGGUGAAAUAAUGGAUUCUAUAACGUAAAAUAGUUACAUAUUUGAAUAAUAUUCCAACCUGAGGUAGAUUUGAGUUAUGGCAUACUGAGAUUCACACUGAAAACCAGUAUAUAAAUUUAAAAUGUGGCAAAAAGGUAAAAAGAAAAGUUUUUUCUUCUUUGCUAACAUAGGUUAUACUAAAUUUGAAAUUCACAUUUGCUUAUAAAAAGACAGCCUUUUGUAAAAGGUUUUCAUGCUGCUUGAAGUUGGGUAAUGGUGGUUGUGGUAAAUAGCUAAAACAUCCUAUAGCACCAGUGACGCACAAGGAGAACAAAGUUCACAUGCCAUUGAUCCCAGUAAUUGUGGUAAAUGUGACAGAUGGCCUAGAAAGACAUUGUCUGAUGCAUCUUAAAAUCAUGGAACACCCAGGUGUUCAGUAGAUUUAAUUCCAUAUUAUAUUGUGUUUUUGCUGAAAUACUCAAGGCCAAAGAUGAUAGUGAAAAACAAGUUUCCAGAGAAUUCCCUUCAGGACAAUCUAUAUUCCUGAGUAAUUUGUUUCAGACAUGAUAUGAAAGUUCAGCUGCUGCCUGGCCUGUUCUUCCCUAAGCUCUUCUCUUGACUGAUUCAUUCUGAGUUUCCAGAUGAUAUCAGCCCUAAUAUCACCUCCUGUCAUGAGAGCUCUUCCCCAGUCACUCUGUUACACUCCCCUGUUCAUUUCCUUCACAGCAGUUACCACGGUCCGCAGUUGUGGUAUUUCUGUGUUAUUUGACUAUCAUUCCCAUCAGAAUUAAUUCCUACUUUGUUUCCUCUCAAAUUGCCAGCACCUAAAUUUGUUAAUCAACUGAAUUUUAAAGGCAGAUUUUCGGAGUCUGAGACAGGAGGAACACUUAAGUCCAGGAGUUCGAGACCAGCUUGGGCAACAUAGGGAGACCUUAUCUUUACGAAAAAUUUAAAAAUUAGCCGGACAUGUUAGCUCACACCUAUACUCCCAGCUAAUCUAGAGGCUGAGGCGGAAGGGUAGCUUGAGCCCGGGAGGUCAAGGCCACAGUGAGCCAUGAUCUUGCACCACUGCGCUCCAGAACCUGGGCGACAGCGUGAGAGACACCCUGUCUCAAAAAGAACCAAAUAAAUAAGUAAAGGCAGAUUAUCCUAGGUGGGCCUGACAUAAUCAAGUGAACUCUUAAAAAGAGGGUCAAGGAACGGCUGGGCGUGGUGGCUCACACCUGUAAUCGUAGCACUUUGGGAGGCCGAGGCAGGUGGAUUGCCUGAGCUCAGGAGUUCGAGACCAGCCUGGGCAACAUGGUGAAACCCCGUUUCUACUGAAAUACAAAAAAAAAAAAAAAAAAAAAAAAAGUAGCCUGUAGUCCCAGCUACUCAGGAGGCUGAGGCAGGAGAAUUGCUUGAACCUGGGAGGUGGAGGUUGCAGUGAGCCAAGAUCGUGCCACUGCACUCCAGCCUGGUGACAGAGCGAGACUCCAAAAAAAAAAAAAAAAAAAAAAAAAAGGUCAAGGAGAAGUCAGGGAGAUUGAAAGCAACAGCAGAUGCUUUUCUUUUAGCCGUGAAGAAGUAAAGUUUCAUGUUAUAGUGAGACCUAUAUGGCAGAAAAUGGCAAGUGGCCUCUAAGAACUGAGAGUAGCCCCUAGCUGAUGGUCAGCAAGAAAGCAGGCCUUCCUUCCUACAGGAUUCUUAAUUCUGCCAACAACCACAUGAGUUUGGAAGAAUACCCAGAACUACAGAAGGGAGCACAGCUUGGCUGACACCUUGAUUUCAGCCUGGUGAGAACCUGAGCAGAGAACCCAGCUGAGCCCAUGCCAGGACUUCUGACUUACAGAACUACGAGAUAAUAAAUAUGUUAUUUUAAGUCACUUCAUUUCUGGUAAUUCGUUUUUGCAUCAAAUGCAAAUGUUUUUGCAUGGAAUAAAGUGUGUAUUCAAAUACAGUCAUAUGGAUACCAAAACUUGAUGUAGUUUUAAUAGCAGAAACCAAAUGAUCAAUUAUCCAUAACUUCAAAGAUUAAUUCAACCUCAUGAAAAGAAACAACUAAUCAGAAGUUAAUACCUGCACAGACUAUUUGUUGUUCUCCCACUUUUGCAUAAAUUAGAUAAUUGAGACAAAGAUAUGGGCUUAUUUCUUUUGCUUAAGACUCACAUAUUUAUCUUUUCCUUAGAUGGAAUUAGUGUAACACAAAGAUGUUCCACUAUUUAUAUUCCUUCAAUUCUGUGUGUGUCUAUAUUCUAUAAUUAGUAUUUUCUCAUUUUCAACUGACAGAAAUAGUGCUUAUAGAAAAAAGAAUUAAAUUACAUGUGUCUCCCUAACAUUAAAUGUUUUUUCUCCUAAAUUUAUUUUUUUUUCCUUUUUUUUUUCUUUUUUUUGAGAUGGAGUCUCACUCCAUCACCCAGCCUGGAGUGCAGUGGUGCUAUCUCAGCUCACUGAAACCUCCGCCUCCCAGGUUCAAGCAAUUCUCCUGCCUCAGCCUCC